UUAGUUCAUACAUAUUAUACGAAGAUCUAUAUCGGUCGAACUAACAAUGUCAAGGAUUCAGCUAAUCCCGUAUUCCGUUCCCUUUGUCCACCGGUAUGUUACUUGCCCGAGAUUCGAUCGUUGGUAUCUCCAUACCUAGUUUAGUCUCGUUACCGGCAAGUCUCUUUACUCGUUCCAUAAUACAAUAUCUCAUGACUAACUCCUUUUGUCACAUUGCUUGCAAGAUUGUUGCGAUGUUGUAUUAUUGAGUGGGCCUCGAG
rnacentral:lncRNA from 1 species